rnacentral:tRNA from 1 species
UGGCUCAGUGGCAAAGCAUGUGCCUAAUAUGCAUGAGGUUGUGGGUUCAAUUCCCAGC